rnacentral:lncRNA from 1 species
UUCAAAGGAGAAGAUUAUUCUCUUUACCAAACAUAUGCGGAUCCAAUCACGAGCCUCCCAAGUGGAAUGAGCUGUCUUGUAUCCAAUAACUUGGGCACAGAUAGGUAGUUUGUUGCUUUUUAUAUCGAAGCGAAGAUAGAUUAAUGAGGAACUGCUGCCCUUUCACUGGAAGAUUUUUUCUUAACAUCAAGCGUGUUGGGACUAGAUAGAAAUGAGAACUUCAACAAUUUCCUUGUUUUCAAUGUCUCCUAAUUUCCAGGAAUUAGUCACUUCAACAGCCUUAGAUGGUUAUACAGGUAUCCAAAGUACGAAUGAGAUGGAUGUUUGUUGUCCCAACCAUUCUUUUAGUCCCGAGCCCAAUAAGGAAAUGGAUAAUUUCUAACAAAGUAUUUGCGUUGUUGAUUCCUAGGUGUAGUGCUUCUUCUCCUAUGCUGCCUAUUGGUACUAGUGGAGUAGGAUUGACCCAUAAUAAAGAACCCCUAGGUGUAACCUUUCACUCAAUACUAGAAUCAAAAUUGAAACAUAGCAUCUGAGGUUGCAUUAAUCGAGGAUACACGACAUAAUGAAUUGUUCUAUUUCCAAACUUCACCUUCAACAAGCGUAGAUUUAUUUCAAAAAAUGUUCUAAAUCACGUGUCUUUCUUGUAAGACUGAGAGAAAUAAUAAUUAAAAAAAAAGAAUCAAAUCAUACCAUCUCUGUAAUAGGUAAAUGCCUCUUUUUCUCCUGAAGUUGUCGGAAUUAAUCAUAAUAAGAUAUUAGCUACAAUUGAAAAGGUCUUCAGCCACAAAAUCUAC